rnacentral:rRNA from 1 species
AUUGAACGCUGGCGGCGGGCCUAACACAUGCAAGUCGAACGAGUGGCGGACGGGUGAGUAAUGUCUGUGAAACUGCCCGCUGGAGGGGGAUAACUACUGGAAACGGUAGCUAAUCCCGCAUACCAUCUGAUGUGCCCAGAUGGGAUUAGCUAGUAGGUGGGGUAACGGCUCACCUAGGCGACGAUCCCUAGCUGGUCUGAGAGGAUGACCGGCCACACUGGAACUGAGGCACGGCCCAGACUCCUACGGGAGGCAGCAGUGGGGAAUAUUGGACAAUGGGCGAAAGCCUGACCGAGCCAUGCCGCGUGUAUGAAGAAGGCCUUCGGGUUGUAAAGUACUUUCAGCAAGGAGGCGGUACUCGCAGAAGAAGCACCGGCUAACUCCGUGCCAGCAGCCGCGGUAAUAC